UAAAAGACGUUUAUUAAAAGUAAAGUAUCUUUUGUUACCCCUUUUCUAAAUAUGCAUAAAAGACGUUUAUUAAAAGUGCAUAAGAAGCAAUUAAAAUAUAUUCUGCAUUUUAGUGCUAUAAAUAUUAAUUAUGUUUAGCAUUGCAUUAAAUUUACACACAUUGAUCAAAUCUCAGUAAUUUGUAAAAUAAAAGAUAAAAAAUAUGGCUAAAAUUCUUAAAUUUGUUUAUGCCAUAGUUUUGUUUUUUUCCCUAUUCCUUCUUUCAGUGAAGGCUAUGUAUCCAUGUGAAACUACUCGUGAUUGUAUAAAAGUAUUUGUUAAUUACUACUAUGUCGAGUGCAUCGAGAAAGUAUGUGUAUCGUUUCCUAAAUCGUAAAUUCUUAUUUAUCCAUUUAAAAUAAAAAGUUGAGUAACUCUAUCCAACUUAAUUGUCAAAUUUUGAAUGGGUUAUGUGCCCACUUAAUUAUAUUAUUAUCAAUGGAGUGCUAUUAUUUUAUAAUUAUAAAUUUAUCCCAAAUACAUUAAAUGUAAAUUAUCAUUUCGAGUUCAAUUGAGUGUUCACUCUUCCCCAUUUAAAUUGUAUUCAAGUUCAACUUUUUCACUCUUUCA